AGCUUCCCGGUGCUUACCACAGGCUGUGUCCUGACACUGACUGUACAGAAAGAGGAGGCAGAGUAAACCUUCCCCAUAAACACUUCAUCCCAGGCCUCAUGCAUGGUCAGUAUUGUGAAUGGGAGGACAUGA
ensembl:snoRNA